GGAAGACAGGAACAUAGGAAUUGCCAUACUGUAUCAUGCCUGUGGUCCAUCUCGUCCGGUAUUCUGUCUGCAACAGUGCCCAUCACUGGAUGCCUCUGAAGAAGGUGCAAGAACUCCACAGAAGGCAUAUGUGGGGUAAUUUUCCGCUCAUGAAGGUCUCAUCCUAAUUUAGACUGUCCAGUUUGGCCGAUGUACAUAGCAGAGGGGCAUUGCUGGCAUAUGAUGGCGUAUAUUACAUUGGUGGACGUGCAGUCCAUCACAGAAGAGAGAACUGCGUUGCCAACUGCAGCAUCAGAGCUAGAGGAUUCAACCAAGGCAUAGUGUCUAAAGAAGCUGUAGUAGGUACUCCAGGACAAGUGGAGGUGGGGCAGAUUCAGGAGCAGCAUUGUGGAGUUCACACCUGUGGCCAAAUCUUGUCCACUUUUGAAGAGCUGAAAGAAACCAGUCAAGUUAAAGCUCUUUGGCCCGUACCAAAUGUGGUGCUGUAUAAAAAGGGGGAAGCAACUUCUCUAGACAGCAUCUGUGGGGGAAAAAGAACAGACAAAGCAAUUCUUUUUUUUUUAACCUAAAUUUAAUGUAGGAUUAAGAUUUGCUACAUAUGAACCAGUAUUAAAACUUUUAUGUUAAAUGUAGUUUGAACAAAGCCAAUUAACACUGUUUUUUGUGUAGGGGCAUCUAACUUUAAGUAUAUUAGUAAUUUAUAAAAUUCAGCAUUGGCUCCCAGGGCUUUGCCUGAUGUAAAUAUAAAAGAUAACUUAGUAAGAGGAAGUAGAGUAAAGGAAACCCCACUCACUAUUCCUCUAAUCUGCAAGGUACUGCAGGGGGAAGAAAUUGGGAAAAGGAGCAAAGAUAGAAAGAACCCUUAGAUAAAGUUAAAAUAUUAAGUAUCUGUAAUAUUAAUAUAUAUAGUUUUGUUGUUGCACAUUUGCAUUGGCCAGAAUGCCAGCCACAGAAGUUGGUUUAAAUUCUUGAUUGUUAAUAAAUGUAUUUUUAGUUUAACUAAUUGUUGAUUGUGUAUCAUUAUCCAAAGAUAAGUAUUCUGGACAGAUCCUUGGCCAUGAUAAAAGAAAGCAGCAAUGUAUGCUUUAUACAGGAAUUUUGUAAAGGAAAUAUUAAAGCCUUACUUUAUAAAAAUAAGAAUAAAAAUAAAAAAUGUAGCAGCCUUUGCUACCCACAGCAUAA